GGCUGUAGCUCAGUGGCAGAGUACUUGCCUAGUACAUGUGAGGUACUGGGUUCGAUCCUCAGCACCA
rnacentral:tRNA from 1 species